GACGAACGCUGGCGGCGUGCUUAACACAUGCAAGUCGAACGGUGAAGGUGGAGCUUGCUCCGCCGGAUCAGUGGCGAACGGGUGAGUAACACGUGGGCAACCUGCCCCAGACUCUGGGAUAACUCCUCGAAAGAGGCGCUAAUACCGGAUAUGAAAUCCUUGGGCAUCCUUGGAGUUGGAAAGUUUUUCGGUCGGGGAUGGGCCCGCGGCCUAUCAGCUUGUUGGUGAGGUAACGACUCACCAAGGCGACGACGGGUAGCCGGCCUGAGAGGGCGACCGGCCACACUGGGACUGAGACACGGCCCAGACUCCUACGGGAGGCAGCAGUGGGGAAUAUUGCGCAAUGGGCGAAAGCCUGACGCAGCAACGCCGCGUGAGGGAUGACGGCCUUCGGGUUGUAAACCUCUUUCAGCAGGGAAGAAGCGAAAGUGACGGUACCUGCAGAAGAAGCACCGGCUAACUACGUGCCAGCAGCCGCCGUAA
rnacentral:rRNA from 1 species